GAAGGGUGCAAGCGUUACUCGGAAUUACUGGGCGUAAAGCGUGCGUAGGCGGUUUGUUAAGUCUGUCGUGAAAGCCCCGGGCUCAACCUGGGAAUGGCGAUGGAUACUGGCGAGCUAGAGUACGGUAGAGGAGAGUGGAAUUCCCGGUGUAGCAGUGAAAUGCGUAGAGAUCGGGAGGAACAUCAGUUGCGAAGGCGGCUCUCUGGACCAGUACUGACGCUGAGGCACGAAAGCGUGGGGAGCAAACAGGAUUAGAUACCCUGGUAGUCCACGCCCUAAACGAUGCGAACUGGACGUUGGGAGCAAUUAGGCUCUCAGUGUCGAAGCUAACGCGUUAAGUUCGCCGCCUGGGGAGUACGGUCGCAAGGCUA
rnacentral:rRNA from 1 species